GACGAACGCUGGCGGCGUGCUUAACACAUGCAAGUCGAACGGAAAGGCCCUGCUUUUGUGGGGUGCGCGAGGGGCGAACGGGUGAGUAACACGUGAGUAACCUGCCCUUGACGUUGGGAUAACUUCAGGAAACUGGGGCUAAUACCGGAUAGGAGCUCCUGCUGCAUGGUGGGGGUUGGAAAGUUUCGGCGGUUGGGGAUGGACUCGCGGCUUAUCAGCUUGUUGGUGGGGUAGUGGCUUACCAAGGCUUUGACGGGUAGCCGGCCUGAGAGGGUGACCGGCCAGACAGGGUGUGAGAUAGGGCCGACCCAGACACGGACGGGAGGCGGGGGUAAUAAAUCAUAAAGGGUGGGGGCCAGCCGGAUCCAGCCCGGCCGCGGGAGUGAGGAAUUCCGGGUGGAAACAAAUUUCGCUUGGCACGGAGGGUGAGGGCGGUAAAUGGAUAAAAAGCCCCGGCUAACUCAGUG
rnacentral:rRNA from 1 species